CAAAAACAUAGCCUGAUGUAUUUAUACUAGGUGAUUUCUGCUCAAUGAAUAACUUAAAUAGCCGCAGUACCCUGACUGUGCAAAGGUAGCAUAAUCAGUUGACUUCUAAUUAAAGUCCGGAAUGAAUGAAUAUAUGAAGGGUAAGCUAUACCAAUGAUAUUCAAUGAAGUUACUUUUGGGGGUGCAAAUUCCCACAUAAUAAUAAAAGACGAGAAGACCCUAGAAAUUUGUAUUAAAGUUUUGUUGGGGCAACAAAGUAGCAAUUAAUAAUCUACUUUAUAGCUAGAAGUAAAACAGUUUGAAUAAAUUACUCUAGGGAUAACAGCAUAAUACGGAAGUGUUUGUGACCUCGAUGUUGGAUUAGGAAGUUGUAGUUUAGAAAGUAAACAAGACCUCUGUUC
rnacentral:rRNA from 1 species